AGAGUUUGAUCAUGGCUCAGGAUGAACGCUAGCGGCAGGCUUAACACAUGCAAGUCGAGGGGUAACAGGAUUUAGUUUACUAGAUUGCUGACGACCGGCGCACGGGUGAGUAACGCGUAUACAAUUUGCCUUUUACUGAAGAAUAGCCCAGAGAAAUUUGGAUUAAUGCUUCAUAGUAUUAUUUGGUCACCUGGCCGAGUAAUUAAAGUUCCGGCGGUAAAAGAUGAGUAUGCGUCCUAUUAGCUAGAUGGUAAGGUAACGGCUUACCAUGGCGACGAUAGGUAGGGGUCCUGAGAGGGAGAUCCCCCACACUGGUACUGAGACACGGACCAGACUCCUACGGGAGGCAGCAGUGAGGAAUAUUGGGCAAUGGAGGCAACUCUGACCCAGCCAUGCCGCGUGCAGGAAGACUGCCCUAUGGGUUGUAAACUGCUUUUAUACAGGAAGAAACUUAUCCACGUGUGGAUAACUGACGGUACUGUAAGAAUAAGGACCGGCUAACUCCGUGCCAGCAGCCGCGGUAAUACGGAGGGUCCAAGCGUUAUCCGGAAUCAUUGGGUUUAAAGGGUCCGUAGGCGGGCAAUUAAGUCAGAGGUGAAAUCCCACAGCUCAACUGUGGAACUGCCUUUGAUACUGGUUGUCUUGAGUUACAGUGAAGUAGAUAGAAUAUGUAGUGUAGCGGUGAAAUGCAUAGAUAUUACAUAGAAUACCGAUUGCGAAGGCAGUCUACUAACUGUAUACUGACGCUAAUGCACGAAAGCGUGGGGAGCGAACAGGAUUAGAUACCCUGAUAGUCCACGCCGUAAACGAUGGUCACUAGUUGUUGGGGUCUUGUACCUCAGUGAUUAAGAGAAAUUGAUAAGUGACCCACCUGGGGAGUACGAUCGC
rnacentral:rRNA from 1 species